rnacentral:rRNA from 1 species
UAUGUAGGGGGCAAGCGUUGUCCGGAUUUAUUGGGCGUAAAGAGCGUGUAGGCGGCCGUACAGGUCAGCUGUGAAAACUCGAGGCUCAACCUCGAGACGUCGGUUGAAACCGUACGGCUAGAGUCCGGAAGAGGAGAGUGGAAUUCCCGGUGUAGCGGUGAAAUGCGCAGAUAUCGGGAAGAACACCCGUGGCGAAGGCGGCUCUCUGGGACGGUACUGACGCUGAGACGCGAAAGCGUGGGGAGCGAACAGG